rnacentral:rRNA from 1 species
AUUGAACGCUGGCGGCAGGCCUAACACAUGCAAGUCGAACGAGUGGCGGACGGGUGAGUAAUGUCUGGGAAACUGCCCGAUGGAGGGGGAUAACUACUGGAAACGGUAGCUAAUACCGCAUACCAUCGGAUGAGCCCAGAUGGGAUUAGCUAGUGGGUGGGGUAACGGCUCACCUAGGCGACGAUCCCUAGCGGGUCUGAGAGGAUGACCAGCCACACUGGGACUGAGACACGGUCCAGAGUCCCACGGCAGGCAGCAGUGGGGAAUAUCGCACAAUGGGCGCAAGCCUGAUGCAGCAAUCCCGCGUCUAUGAAGAAGGCCAUAGGGUUUUAAAGUACUUUCAGCGAGGAGGCGUUACUCACAGAAGAAGCACCGGCUAACUCCGUGCCAGCAGCCGCGGUAAUAC